CCAAUAGCGUAUAUUAAAGUUGUUGCAGUUAAAAAGCUCGUAGUUGAAUUUCGGGACCAAUAUGUCGGUCGUGCUUCGGUACGUACUUGCAUUAUUGGUUUCUCCCUUCUGACGAACCAUGAUGUCAUUAAUUUGGUGUCUUGGGGAAUCAGGACUGUUACUUUGAAAAAAUUAGAGUGUUUAAAGCAGGCUCACGCUUGAAUACAUUAGCAUGGAAUAAUGAAAUAGGACGUUUGAUUCUAUUUUGUUGGUUUCUAGGAUCGACGUAAUGAUUAAUAGGGAUAGUUGGGGGCAUUAGUAUUCAAUUGUCAGAGGUGAAAUUCUUGGAUUUAUUGAAGAAUAACUACUGCGAAAGCAUUUGCCAAGGAUGUUUUCAUUAAUCAAGAACGAAAGUUAGGGGAUCGAAGACGAUCAGAUACCGUCGUAGUCUUAACCAUAAACUAUGCCGACUAGGGAUCGGAUGAUGUUAAUUUUUUAAUGACUCAUUCGGCGCCUUACG
rnacentral:rRNA from 1 species